GUGGCUGUGGUUCAGUGGCAGAGCGCUUGCCUAGCAUGUGCGAGGCACUGUGUUUGAUUCUCAGCACCACG
rnacentral:tRNA from 1 species